AUGCGGCCAACUCUCAUGUCCGUGUUCCUGGAAAUUCAAGCUUAUUUCAUCGGAAAAGGCGGUUAUAGGAAUUCUGAUUCUCCAAUGCCCCGUGGAGAAGUUAUCAUUGGUGGUUACAGUAUAACAAACGGUUAUUUCAACAAUGAAGCAAAAACAGAUGAGGUGUAUAAGGUGGACGUGAGAGGAAUAUGCUGGUUUUACACUGGAGAUAUCGGCCAGCUCCGUCCUGAUGGAUGCAUUGAGAUCAUCGACAGGGAAAAAUACAUAUUUGAACCAGCUCUACAUACAAGCAAUUAUGUGGAGAGUAUCAUGGCCUAUGCUGAUCCAUUUCAUACUUACUGUGUUGCACUGGUAGUUUCACCACACCAGGCCUUGAAGAAGUGGGCUCAAAAUUCAGGGAUAAGCUACAAAGACAUUGAGCAGCUGUGUCAUAAUGAUCAAGCAAUUAAGGAGGUCCAGCAGUCUCUAUCAAAGGGCACAAAAGCAGAAAGGCUUGAGAAGUUCGAAAUACCUGCUAAGAUCGUCUUUUGCCUGAAUGUUGGACGAGUCUGGCUUGUGACUAAGAGGGAGAAGCUAAAGACUAAAUUUCAAGAUGAUCUGAAGAAGCUCGAUCACUGA
rnacentral:rRNA from 1 species